UUAAAAGUCUUAUUUUCUACAUGGGGAUCAAUAACUAAUAUUCACGUUAAAAUUAACAAUAGUUCAACAAAUAAUUUAAUGUUUAUCCUCCACAUCAACCCCCGCAAUCAAACCUGGUUCUAAAGAUUUUUAUAUAUAUACCGGUAGUCUUCUUUCAUUCUUACAUGUGUACAGUAGCAAUUUAUAAAUCAUUUCUUGAUUGGUAUUUUUCUCUAGAUGCACAUUAAGAAUUUUUUGCUUUUUAAGUUUUAAGAUAAACAAAAUGUAAUAUAUAUUCAGAGCAAUUGUAAUGUCACCUAAACAAAGCAAGUUCAUCAUUAGGCUAGGAUUACCCACAUGAGUCAAACAUUACAUAUGUCAGAAUAAGAUGAAAUACUUUAUUAUUUCCAUUUCUAUAAUUCAGGGUGUCUCCUAUACCAUUUGAUGAGCAAUAACACAAAGAGCAAGCUUUUAAGAAUAAAUAUGGUUUAGAGAUGGGGAUCUCAAAAGUUAUCAAAAUAUAUCAUUAUUUCCUAUUUCAGAGGAGGUGGGUUUGGUUUAAAGACAACACCUGGGGGUCAUAUACUUUACACCAUUUGAUGCAACAUAAUGACUUUAAAAACAAGAAUAUACCAGUACAGUCUUCACGACAAAAUUUUUUCAGCACAUGCCCUUCGGGCAUGUAAACCCAUCAUUUUAACCCAGCCCAUUCAAAUUUUUACAUGCCCAACCCGUAAUUGUUAUAUUUACCGGUACAUGUACGUCUUGUAAUUUAGCAAACAUAUAUACAGUAGGUUUAACUAAACACUUCAAUGAUUACGAUUGACGCUUAUUUGACAAGUCGUAACUUUGGUACGAUGGAAGAAAUGGCAAGUAAACAUAUUGUACAUUGACAGAAAAUUUACACAUGCCCUCCGGGCAUGUAAUUUGGCAAUUUUUACAUGCCCGCCUGCAAAUUUACCAGGCCACAGGCAUCAGACUCCCGGGUUCAGAUAAAAGACUGUUUUGUAAAAAUAUUGGGGAGGAUACCCUCUUCCCCCCCCCCCCAAAAUUAACUUCCCUGUUUGAUAACACAAUGUAUAAUGUUUACUACCAAUCUGUCAUGGUAAUAAAAUCUAUGGAAUUAAAAAAAAAAAGCUAGUGUAUGCAUAUUUAUUUGCAUUUUUUUUAAACCAAAGUUGUCUUUUCAAAGUAUCUCGCUCUAAACUUUACGACAUUGUGUAAUUUACUUAAACCGCGUUCCUGGACACCCCGUUUUGGAAAAUAAAUUCUUUUGAUCAAAACUGAAAUCGCCUCAAUUUUUUCCAUUUUAUAUACAGGUAACUCUCGAUGGCUCGAACUUCGAACGCUCGAAGUUCUUGAUCGCUUGAAGUGAGUCUAGGGUCCUGAUUUUUUCCCUAUAUAACUAAGCAAAUUUACUCUUGAUUUCUCAAGUCCUGAUCUCUCGAAACCCUUGAUCACUCAAAGUCAAACUGCAGUCCCGUUGUUCAAAAUCUAUAGCUUCUUACUCUUGAUACCUCGAAGUCGCCGUGUAUCUCCAAGCGUUAUACCUAAUUAACACCUACUUGGUCAUUUAAAUGGCUCCAGGCAUUAGACGCGGGACCCUUUAUUCAGGCGACACUUGUCCUGCAAGGUGAUAAUUGUUUGAUGAUUGGCCAUAUCGAUACCUAAUCUAUAAUCAACACCAACCGUUUUACGAUAAUUUUGAGACGCAAUGAAAAUGUGAAAUUAAUUGAGACGAAACGAUAAUAAUGAGUCAUGGUCAAAUUUUAGAUUUAUCAAACUGUAAAAAGUGUAAAAAGUCAUUAGAAUGAUUAUUGCUGAACAACUUCUUACAGGACCCGUACGAUGGAAACAAUGAGUGAUACUCAGUUAUCACAUUUAUGACAUGUCGAUCAUCUCACAGUACAGUAGUACUGAGCAAUCUGGUAUUAAUAUGAUGCAUAAAAUAAAUAUUUAAUAUGAAUCUAUUCAAUAGUUGUUUGUAUUUAGUUUUAAAAACAUCCCGUUCUGUAUAUAUUAGUGAAAAGAAAACGUUCAUUCAGCACGUGCGUAAGGUUAGCACUAAAUAAAUGGCUUAAUCAUAACAUCCGGUAAGACUAACUUUAAAAACUGUCAAUCAACCCGUAAAAUUCCGAACUCUUGAAAACUCGAACUCUUGAAACCUUGAACUUUUUCCUCGGUCCCAUGGACUUCAAGCUAUUGAGAGUUACCUGUAUUAACUUUUUUGUAUUAACCAAAGAUGUCCCACCCAAGGUAUGAAUAUCUACCCGCGAUGCAUAAUGAACCCAUCCUACACUUUUCCCCCCUACCCGGUACCAAACAUUCUAACAAAUGCUCAUGAGCAGCUCAUGAGAAGCACAUGAGAAUCUAGUAAGAAAUGUAUGCAAAUUAGGUAGGAUUUCAUUUUGCUCAUGUGCAGAUUGUUAGUCUUUGUUAGGGAGGAAAAUACUAACCAAAAUGCACAUGUGCAAAAAUUUGCUCACCUGAUUGCUCAUGAGCAAAAUUCUAUUCGAAUUGCUCACGUAAGCAACAGGCUAUACAGAUACAUUGACGGUAGAUUUUUUUUCUAAGUUCAACUUUCUCACGUGAGCAAGAGGUUAGGAAAUUGGACUUCGUCAGUAUAGGCAGUAUCAAAGUUAAAUCUAAAUGAUAAAAAAAUUACGUCCUUUUUCCUCACGUAAGCAAUUGCAAAAUUCUGUUAAUUAACAAGUACAUUUUGACACCCCCACCCCAAUUUUUUUUUCGUGAACACCAAACUGUCGGGUUUUUUUUUUUGGGUAACGUUAUAUUCCUUUUUUCCUAAAUUCAAUUAUCACUCAACUUACUAUUUAGAUAUGAGAAUCUGACAAAACCGCUUGAUAUUGUGAUUUUUCGUAAGCUGUUUGUUUCUACUUUUACUUUUGUUUUAAUGUAAAGUUACCCGCUAGUCUGGUCUCACUCCCGCCCAAAACGAUGUGGCGGGGGAACCAGUCUAUGCUACGCGCGCGCUCAUUGGUCGAUUAAAUGCCAGCCGCCAAUUUUCAUAUUCGAUUCCGCCAUGUUGUCUAAUAUCACAGAUGACGGUGAAAUGAAUUAAAAAGGGAAUUAUCUGAAUCUGUACGGUACUACCGGUUGAUAAGGUUAAAAACUACGUGGGGUAUUCAUCAAUGGAGUGUUUUAGUGUGAAAAAUCCACGGCUGAACAGAGGAAGAAUCUGAAUGAAUGAAUCGAGUGUCGACACCCCCUGCAUCUUCUGUAUGAGCACUUCAAGCCUGCCCUGAGUUGUACAGACCUGAAGAAAACCAUGAAAAGCUCACUGAUUUUAUGAAUGAUGCAACAAAAAAAGUGAAGACGUUAUUUAAGUAAUGGAGAAGUAUACAUGCUGAAGUCUGGUUAUGUCAAUUUGGAUAUUAUUGUGAUGUUCUGGUAGUCAGCUGUUUGUGUGGUUGUUUAUGUGUGAAAUCAGAGAGCAUGUGAGACACGAGACUGCACUGUCAAAAAAAGGACAUUUGGAAUGUUGGAGACGAAUGCCUCGAUCGAUUGUAAUGCAGCCAGUGCUCAUGCAGCACUUAUGAACUACUUUGUAUCGUUAAAUUGAACUUUGCCUACUGUGAACUGUGAUUUUUUUUCCAAGUCCGUCUGUGCGAUUUGUGUGAUCAAACUGCAAUACAAGUUUCAACAUGCCAGCAUUUAUUAUUGGUAAACUUUCUAAAGAUUUAUGUAAAUGUAAUGUUAAACAAUGUAUGAAAUUGUAUUUUUAAUAUGACUGAUGUAAAUAUAUAUUGAUGAUUUUAAUUUCAAUUUUUGUCCAUUGUCUUUGAAGUGAGCAACUGUUGCACAUGAGCCUCAUGAGUCUCAUAAGCCUCAUGAGCCUCAUGUGAGCAAAACUCUUGGUAAGCAGAUCUAUUCCUCAUGUGAGCAAAAAAAAGCUCGUGUGCAGAAUUUUUCUCACGUGAGCAUUUUACCUAAUUUGCAUGUUAAAUUGCACAUAAGACUAUCAUGAGCAACUCACGUGAGAAAAUCUUGUUAGUCCUCACAUGAGCUGCUCAUGAGCAAAUUGUGAGAAUGUUUUGGUAUGGGUAGCAUUCUCGCGCCUUUGGCGCUCAAAUCGAACCUACGACUCAAAUUUUCCCCUUUAAAUAUGAAAAGGGUAGUAAAAUAAAAUAGCUAGAUAAAUCCCUGGUUCCUUAAAAAUAUAUUUACUGUUUACGUAAUCAUUUGAUAUUAUUUCAUUCCAAGCAUAUAUUUUGAUGCAAAUUACCCCUGACUUUGAUCCGCCAAAGCGUGUCCACCACCUUACUCUCAUUUUUGCUAUUUUGGGCUUGUUUAUCAAAAAUGAAAGUAGGUUUUUUAUUAAUUUCACAAUAAUUACUAACAAGUGAAAAUCAAAAUAUGCCUUACGGACAUCAUCUAACAUGUGUUGAAAUACCAAAGGUGUAAGCAAGUACUCUGGUGCAAGCAUUUUGUAGUUUAUUUGCAAAAUGCCUUAAUUUAUAAGUAUAGAUAAGGGGUGUUAUACCACAGAUCUAAAGGUAGGGAUAAUUAAUACAUAACUUUCACUGCUUUAAACAUUCAAUACCACCUCUAGGGUUGCAAAUAACAUUUUCAAACCCAGGAGCCAUGCGGGCUCCCAUCUUUUUUUUUAAUUUAUACAAGCCCACAAUAAUUUUUAGGGGCCCACUGAUAUUCACAACGAAGUUAGUUUAAAAUAUCAAAUAAAAAUUGUUAAGUGCCAUUAUUAAUUUGAAUGAGAUCCAAUUUAUUAAAAUUAAUUCUUUUUAUGUAAUUUCAUUGAUGAAAUGUUAUGUUAUUGUGUUAGCCAAAUGACAAAUAAAAUCGGUCUCUGUAUUUCUGUAUAUUUUGGAGGUAUCUGUCCAACCCUUUGACCCAUUUACAACUGUUUUAUUGCCUGAUGCCCUUUUACAUAACUGAUUAAAAAGUUAUUUGCGGUGACGGAAAUGGCCGAGUAGUUACGACUGGCAAUAUCAUGAUAUUUCACAUAAAAGAUUAACCGAGUCCGAUGCAUGAUUAAUUAAGGUGUCUGCAUUUAUAUUCACAAUUGAUGAAAAUGUUAUAUGGGAUAAUGUAAUAACAACAGCCAGCAAGAGUUUUCAAGUAAAAGGGAUGUUCAACAUGCAGUGCACGUGUGUAACCCUGAUUUAAAAAUAGAUCAGCAUCCCACCAUAAUUGAACGGUGGAAAAGGGGGAGGGGGUCAUCGUUCUAACAUGGCACGUCUUUUAACCCCAAGGAACCCCAAGGAAACCCCAAGGAUACCCCAAGGAUACCCCAAGGAUACCCCAAUGACAGAAAUGAAUAACUAUUGAUACCCAAGGGGGUCUCAUUAGAGUGAAAGGGUUACCCCUUAUCCUUGGUACCCCAAUUAUACCCCAAGGAACCCCAAAGAUAACCUAAUAAUACAGAUUUAUAACUCCUGAUACACCAUAGAACUCCAAGGAACCUCAAGGAUACCCUAAUAAUACAAAUUUUAAACUCUUGGUACCCCUGGGGACUCACUGGUAUUCCAGACACACCUCUAAGAACCCCAGGGAACCCCAGGGAUAUCCCAAGGAACUCCAAGAAUACCCUAAUAAUACA